GCUUACGGUGAAAUCACGCUGAAUGCGGUGGUUCUCUCCGAGCACCGAAGCUAAGCAACGUCGUGCCUAGUUAGUAUUUAGAUGGGUGGCCACUUGGGAAACCUAGGAGUUGUAAGUA
rnacentral:rRNA from 1 species